rnacentral:rRNA from 1 species
UACGGAGGGUGCGAGCGUUAAUCGGAAUUACUGGGCGUAAAGCGCACGCAGGCGGUUUGUUAAGCUAGAUGUGAAAGCCCCGGGCUCAACCUGGGAUGGUCAUUUAGAACUGGCAGACUAGAGUCUUGGAGAGGGGAGUGAAUUCCAGGUGUAGCGGUGAAAUGCGUAGAUAUCUGGAGGAACAUCAGUGGCGAAGGCGACUCCCUGGCCAAAGACUGACGCUCAUGUGCGAAAGUGUGGGUAGCGAACAGC